rnacentral:rRNA from 1 species
UACAGAGGUCCCAAGCGUUGUUCGGAUUCACUGGGCGUAAAGGGUGCGUAGGCGGUCGGGUAAGUCUGAUGUGAAAUCUCACAGCUUAACUGUGAAACUGCAUUGGAUACUAUUCGGCUUGAGAGUUGGAGGGGGGACUGGAAUUCUUGGUGUAGCAGUGAAAUGCGUAGAUAUCAGGAGGAACACCGGUGGCGAAGGCGGGUCUCUGGGCCGGAACUGACGCUGAGGAGCGAAAGCGUGGGGAGCGAACAGG